rnacentral:rRNA from 1 species
AGGUGGCUAGAAAAUGCCACACUCUGGGAACAAUAUCCGGCUCUAUACAACAUUGUGCGUCACAAGGGUGAUACUAUCGCCACGGUAAUGGAAUCAUUUCCGCCAAAUGUGACGUUCAGAAGAGAUUUAAUUGGACCCAGACUCCAAUUGUGGUACAUCCUGCUCCAGUGGUUGUCCAUGGUGCAGUUGUCACAUGAGUCUGAUAUAUUCCGAUGGAACCUACAUGAGAAUGGACAAUUCUCAGUGGAGUCUAUGUAUAGAGCGUUAAUCCAGCCUGAGGUGCCAGUUGAUAAUAACAAGAAGAUCUCGAAGAUGAAGAUAGCUCUUAAGAAAUAA